UGAGGAAUAUUGGUCAAUGGACGCAAGUCUGAACCAGCCAAGAAGCGUGCAGGAUGACGGCCCUAUGGGUUGUAAACUGCUUUUAUAUGGGGAUAAAGUGGGGAACGUGUUCCCUUUUGCAGGUACCAUAUGAAUAAGGACCGGCUAAUUCCGUGCCAGCAGCCGCGGUAAUACGGAAGGUUCGGGCGUUAUCCGGAUUUAUUGGGUUUAAAGGGAGCGUAGGCCGUUUGGUAAGCGUGUUGUGAAAUGUAGGAGCUCAACUUCUAGAUUGCAGCGCGAACUGUCAGACUUGAGUGCGCACAACGUAGGCGGAAUUCAUGGUGUAGCGGUGAAAUGCUUAGAUAUCAUGAAGAACUCCGAUUGCGAAGGCAGCUUACGGGAGCGCAACUGACGCUGAAGCUCGAAGGUGCGGGUAUCGAACAGG
rnacentral:rRNA from 1 species